rfam:Otolemur garnettii contig012481, whole genome shotgun sequence.
GCGCCUGUGGCUCAAAGGAGUAGGGCUCUGGCCCCAUAUGCCAGAGGUGGCGGGUUCAAACCCAGCCCUGGCCCA